UCAUUUCAAUCACUCGAACGUCAAAAUGAUAAAUAAUCAUUUUCAAUCUAUUAUAGUAAUUCACCGUUUCCACGGGUUUUUUAUACCUUUAAAAAGCUACAAUAAAGCUAAAUCUAAAGGAAAUAACGUCAUUUAGUUACACAUUUGUGAAGGAAAUCUAACAGUCAAUUGCUUUCCAUAAAACCUUGACCCACCUGACUUUGUUAAUGUUAUUAUUACCGUCGCUUGCAACUAACUAUUAACGGUCGCUUAUAAAAACAUUGCCUAUUCGUGUGUUUCUGCUGGGGUCUACACCGUAGGCUAAUUCGCGUGCGAAUCUUAAGUUUUCUUAUUUUGACAUAAGGGACCGGUCAUUAAGUAUUUACUAGGGGGUGUGGAGGAUAUUUUUGGAGGGUACGAAAAAA